GACGAACGCUGGCGGCGUGCUUAACACAUGCAAGUCGAACGGUGAAGCGCCUUCCUUUUUGGUUUGUGUGGAUGAGUGGCGAACCGGGUAGUAACACGUGAGUAACCUGCCCCCUUCUUCGGGAUAACCGCAUGAAAGUGUGGCUAAUACCGGAUAUUCUGUGUCUGUCGCAUGAUGGGUCUGUGAAAGAUAUUGUUUCGGAGGGGGAUGGGCUCGCGGCCUAUCAUCUUGUUGGUGGGGUGACGGCCUACCAAGGCGGUGACGGGUAGCCGGCAUGGGAGGGUCGGCCGUCCGGGAGGGGCUGAGCGACGGAGCAGCCUACUACGGGAGGCAGCAGUGGAGAAUAGUGCACGAUGGGAGGAAGCAUGCUGCAGCGCCGCCGCGUGAGAGAUGGAGGCCGGCGGGUUGUGAACUUCUUUCGCGAGUGAAGCAGGCCUGCCUAGUGUGUGGGUGGGUUGACGGUAGCUGGAGAAGAAGCGCCGGCUAACUACGUG
rnacentral:rRNA from 1 species